GUAGUUGACUCCUGGCUACAGACGACGCUGGCGGCACGCCUAACACAUGCAAGUCGAACGGAGUGAAGAUGCUCGCAUCUGAACUUAGUGGCGGACGGGUGAGUAACACGUGAGCAACCUGCCUUUCAGAGGGGGAUAACGUUUGGAAACGAACGCUAAUACCGCAUAAAAUAUCGGAGUCGCAUGGCACUGAUAUCAAAGGAGUAAUCCGCUGAAAGAUGGGCUCGCGUCCGAUUAGGCAGUUGGCGGGGUAACGGCCCACCAAACCGACAAUCGGUAGCCGGACUGAGAGGUUGAACGGCCACAUUGGGACUGAGACACGGCCCAGACUCCUACGGAAGGCAGCAGUGGGGGAUAUUGCACAAUGGGGGAAACCCUGAUGCAGCGAUGCCGCGUGAAUGAAGACGGCCUUCGGGUUGUAAAGUUCUGUCGCAGGGGACGAAAAUGACGGUACCCUGCAAGAAAGCUCCGGCUAACUACGUG
rnacentral:rRNA from 1 species